CAUGAUCUUCAUCACCAUGAUUUUUAUCCCUAUCCUACUUUAUUAUCUUAAAGUCAUGAUCAAAUACUCUUUCCCAUUAUACUUUGUUCUCCCAUUCUCCUCAUCUUAUCAUGUAGUAUAUAAAAGAAGGUAGAGACUCUUUGCACUAAACUUCUUUCUUAGCUAAAGGAAAACUCUUGUAAAAGACUCCCAAAUAACCCAAAAAAUCAAGGGAAAAAAUCCUUUGUAAUUCCAAUUCAAAAUAGUUUUAUGUCGAGUGAAAAGAAAGACCAACCUAUAAUUCUCAUCUUAAUUCAAUAUUAAUUUUUUUAUUUUCGGGUGGUGAUCAAGAAGAUAAAUUAGUGUAAAAAUGGAGUCAAAUGAAGGAGGAAUGAAGAUAGAAAUUCCAGAAAAUAAUUCAACAAGUCCAAGAGGAUUAACAAGGCAAGCUAGCAAUGGAAGUUCAAAAGUAAGCAGUUGUCUUUGUUCUCCAACUACUCAUGCUGGCUCUUUUAGAUGCCGUCUUCAUCGAUCUCCAACCCUUCAACGCACCAAAAGUGUUGAUCCUCCUGCAUCUUCUAAGCCAAAUCAUGCUGCAAUUAAUGUUAUUUAUCAUCAUUUAUGAACUCUAGAUCAUCAUAUGAUUUCAUUGUGAUAAUAUUUACGACAUGAUCAUGUUAAUCAUGUAUGUGUUCUUUUAAUUGAUGAUUAUAUAUGUUUUGCUA